UCAGUCGAUCCUACGGGGAGGCAGCAGUGGGGGAAUAUUGCACAAUGGGCGCAAGCCUGAUGCAGCCAUGCCGCGUGUAUGAAGAAGGACCUUCGGGUUGUAAAGUACUUUCAGCAGUGAGGAAGGCAGGUACGUUAAUAGCGUGCUUGUUUGACGUUAGCUGCAGAAGAAGCACCGGCUAACUCCGUGCCAGCAGCCGCGGUAAUACGGAGGGUGCGAGCGUUAAUCGGAAUUACUGGGCGUAAAGCGCAUGCAGGUGGUUUGUUAAGUCAGAUGUGAAAGACCCGGGGCUCAACCUCGGAAUUGCAUUUGAAACUGGCAGACUAGAGUACUGUAGAGGGGGGUAGGAAUUUCAGGUGUAGCGGUGAAAUGCGUAGAGAUCUGAAGGAAUACCGGUGGCGAAGGCGGCCCCCUCGGACAGAUACUGACACUCAGAUGCGAAAGCGUGGGGAGCAAACAGGAUUAGAUACCCUGGUAG
rnacentral:rRNA from 1 species